AACGUAGGAGGCGAGCGUUAUCCGGAUUCACUGGGCGUAAAGCGCGCGUAGGCGGUUAGGUAAGUCGGACGUUAAAGCCCCUGGCUCAACUGGGGGAGGUCGUUCGAUACUGCUUGGCUUGAGUGUGAGAGGGGAGAGUGGAAUUCCCGGUGUAGCGGUGGAAUGCGUAGAGAUCGGGAGGAACACCAGUGGCGAAGGCGGCUCUCUGGCUCACUUCUGACGCUGAGAGCGCGACAGCGUGGGGAGCAAACGGG
rnacentral:rRNA from 1 species